rnacentral:lncRNA from 1 species
UUGCUCCAGUAAUGGGCGGAAGCGGGCACGAGCAGGAAUCGGCGUUUACUGGGGGCCAGGCCACCCCUUAAAUGUAGGCAUAAGGCUUCCUGGGCGACAGACAAACCAGAGGGCUGAGAUCCAUGUAAGUUCCCAGACAAACUUGAGUCUGCCUUCCUCCCGGUGACCACCACAUCAGCCUGUUUCCUUCCUUUCCUGUCUUAGGUAGAAGGUAUUGAAAGGUCACAAGAAAUUUCCAGGCUAGCAACAGUCUUUAAAGACAGUAAUUCUCUAGAAAAGUCCUGGGGUCAUUUUACGAAGGUGCCAUGGGCUGUUGUUGUAAGUUUACCCCUCUUCACAAAGCAAAGAUAACAUGGUGGUCCAGAAAGAGCAGUGCUUCUGUCUUGAAACACUUGAUGGGUAAUUUAAAACGGCAAGCAUUUUUGUAUAGCAUGACUAUGGACUUGCUUUUUCAAGGCAGCCUGUAAAGCCAUCACGCAAGCCAAGGCUCAGAACAUCAGCAAGCU